AAAUGAAUAGACGGGGGCCCGCACAAGCAGUGGAGCAUGUGGAUUAAUUCGACGCGACCCGAAGAACCUUACCAGGUCUUGACAUCUACUUAAGGUCUUAGAGAUAGGACUGUGCCUUUUUGGAAAAGUAAGACAGGUGGUGCAUGGUUGUCGUCAGCUCGUGUCGUGAGAUGUUGGGUUAAGUCCCGCAACGAGCGCAACCCUUGAUGUUGGUUGCUACCAGGAAAGCUGAGCACUCCAGCGUGACUGCCGUAGAAAUGCGGAGGAAGGUGGGGAUGACGUCAAAUCAUCAUGCCCUAUAUGACCUGGGCUUCACACGUGCUACAAUGGGGCGAACAACGGGAAGCGAGCCUGCGAGGGUAAGCGGAUCCCUAAAAACGCCUCUCAGUUCGGAUUGCAGGCUGCAACUCGCCUGCAUGAAGUCGGAAUUGCUAGUAAUCGCGGAUCAGCAAGCCGCGGUGAAUACGUUCCCGGGCCUUGUACACACCGCCCGU
rnacentral:rRNA from 1 species